CUUGCUAAGUAAUGGUUGUGGGAAUUUUGAAUUGUCCACCAAAAUCCUGGAGGCAGGAAGACUCAGCUGGGGGUUGGUGAGGGCAUACAGACUGGUCUUUGGUCACCUGCUACACAGAACCUACUUCAGGGCCCUCCUGGUCUCCCCCUGAGCCAGCCUGUCCUUCACUGGUCACUUACUCUGAGGUUCGCCACCUCCAAGCACUGGCUAAGCUGCUUUGCCUAAAAUGUUGAAUUAUGUUCACUUGAAAUGUAAACACCCAUCCCAGGCAGGCUGUCAGCAGGCCGCCCAUUUCCUAUAAACAGCCAGCCCAGAGCACACACAGAGGGCUCAGGGCCAUAGGAAAACAUGCCUCUGGAACAGCUCAAGGCUGACACUAACUCUGAAGCUGAGAUUAGAGGACAACAAACAUUCCCCAGAAGCCCCCUCCCUGGACAGGCUACGGGCUAUGUGCUCCCUCUGCUCCUGUCUUCCACCUCUGGAGCACCCUGGUGCUAUCCACUGUGGGCCUGUGUGAGAUGCUGUGCCUCCUAGGACCUGUGUCAGGCCCUUGCUAGAUACCUGGUCCUUCUAACUAUCAGACAGCUCUCCAGAGAGGAUCAUCAAGCUCUUCUUACUGAGGAGGAAACAGAGGCCAAGGCAGCAGUUAUUUCCAGAAAGGGUGGGAUAUGCCUGAGUUGUGCCAGCACUGAGGAUACCAAGAUGAGCCAACGUCAUCCCUCUCUUCAAGUUGCUCACCAUCCAUAGAGCAGAUGGAUGAACAGACACUCAAACCACAACACGGUAAAGGCAAUGUGACAGGCUCAGCAAAGGGGGCUGCAUGGAACAGAAUCUCAUCCCCGGGUGGGGUGAGAGCUGGAGGGUGGGGACUGUGUCCUGGAAGAGCUACUGAGUCUUGAGGGGGAGUAGGUGUUGGCCUCAAAAAGGCAUGAGGAAAGAACAUUCUAGAACUGUGCUAUCCGAUACAGUAGUCACAGCCUCAUGUGGCCACUGAGCACUUGAAACCUGGCCAGUCCAAGUGGAGAUGUGCUGUAAAUGUAAAAUUCACACUGGAUUUCAAAGGCUAAGUAUGAAAAAAAAUGUAAAAUAUCUUAUUAGCAAUUUAAAAAAUAU